UCCUACGGGACGCAGCAGUGGGGAAUAUUGCACAAUGGGGGAAACCCUGAUGCAGCGACGCCGCGUGAGUGAAGAAGUAUUUCGGUAUGUAAAGCUCUAUCGGCAGGGAAGAAAAUGACGGUACCUGACUAAGAAGCCCCGGCUAACUACGUGCCAGCAGCCGCGGUAAUACGUAGGGGGCAAGCGUUAUUCGGAUUUACUGGGUGUAAAGGGGGCGUAGAAGGUAGAGCAAGUCUGAAGUGAAAGCCCGCGGC
rnacentral:rRNA from 1 species